ensembl:lncRNA
CUCGAACUAUUUUUGUCCACAGAUACGGAUUCCAGUCCUCGAUAACACUCCUCUUCAGCCCUUCCUCGACACACUCCACUUCAGCCCUUAAUUUCCAGCCGACUCCACUCCAGGUAAGUUUAAAGCAAGAGCUAGGCAGUUGACGUGCAGGGACUUUCUGGCUCUGGGGGGGGGGGGUGGACUUCAAGACCCAAGGCUGAGCUGUUAGCGUGCAGGGGUUCUAGCUCUCAGGUAAGUACAAAGUUCAAUACACAGGUGGGUAUUCACAGGGCUGGGCUGUUAGCGUGCAGGGGUUCUAGCUCCCAGGUAAGUACAGCGUUCAAUACACAGGUGGGUAUUCACAGGGCUGGGCUGUUAGUGUGCAGGGGUUCUAGCUCACAGGUAAGUACAGAAUUCAAUACACAGGUGGGUAUUCACAGGGCUGGGCUGUUAGCGUGCAGGGGUUCUAGCUCCCAGGUAAGUACAGCGUUCAAUACACAAGUGGGUAUUCACAGGGCUGGGCUGUUAGUGUGCAGGGGUUCUAGCUCACAGGUAAGUACAGAAUUCAAUACACAGGUGGGUAUUCGCAGGGCUGGGCUGUUAGCGUGCAGGGGUUCUAGCUCUCAGGUAAGUACAGAAUUCAAUACACAGGUGAGCAUUCACAGGGCUGGGCUGUUAACUGGCUACUCACCACUGAAGAUAUUCAGAGGUCGGUAUUCCAAGCAGAUACGGGUUUGGUCGAUGACUGACGGCUGGUGGGCCUUACAGGUGAGACUGCAAACAAUACUGGGCUUCCCGCCCAGCUUGGCAAGGGGGCACACGGGGGAGGAUCGGCUGUUGUCCUUCGCUUCCCUCGUCAAAGAGACAGCACAGACGACACGCACAAGGCCGGUGGUUGCUGACAAGGCCAAUGACACAACGUCACGUGGAUGAAAAGGUAAGGCUUUGAUUUAAAAGCUUACAGAGAUCGCUGUGUGGGCGACGUCAUCCAACCUCCUCCAGAGGCGCCUCCAACACGUCCAAGCUCCAGCUUACUUAAGGUAAAGACUGUGGUUGCCACCAAUACACUGCUCCUCUCUGUCAGGCCUCUUCCUACGACCGGGGACACAACCACGGACAAACACCACACACCACAAAGGCACUACAAUUCUUCUCGUGUGUACACUUCAAUAUAGCAGCACUCACCGCACUCCACACACUCAGUGAAAGAAGAUCCGUGGUGUAUUCCCGUUUCGGGCUCAGAGUCCUGGCGGGGCGUGUCAGAUGGACGAAGGCAGGGGGCAGACCACAGCAGGCGUAUAUAUCGUACACCGGAGUCUCUCCGUCUUUCCCAGCGAUCUCCAACGCAAGGCACUACUAUCAACACUGAGUAAACACACAAGCACUGAGGAUUAUUAGAUCAACACAAGAGAGGGGGGGGGGGGGAUUACCCACUGCUACGGAGAAAUAUGCAGUCGGAACACUUUCUUAAAGGCAG